rnacentral:rRNA from 1 species
GACGAACGCUGGCGGCGUGCUUAACACAUGCAAGUCGAACGGAAAGGCCCUGCUUUUGUGGGGUGCUCGAGUGGCGAACGGGUGAGUAACACGUGAGUAACCUGCCCUUGACUUUGGGAUAACUUCAGGAAACUGGGGCUAAUACCGGAUAGGAGCUCCUGCUGCAUGGUGGGGGUUGGAAAGUUUCGGCGGUUGGGGAUGGACUCGCGGCUUAUCAGCUUGUUGGUGGGGUAGUGGCUUACCAAGUCUUUGACGGGUAGCCGGCCUGAGAGGGUGACCGGCCACAAUGGGACUGAGAUACGGCCCAGACGCCUACGGGAGGCAGCAGUGGGGAAUAUUGCACAAUGGGCGGAAGCCUGAUGCAGCAACGUCGCGUGCGGGAUGACGGCCUUCGGGUUGUAAACCGCUUUCGCCUGUGACGAAGCGUGAGUGACGGUAAUGGGUAAAGAAGCACCGGCUAACUACGUG